rnacentral:rRNA from 1 species
UACGUAGGUGGCAAGCGUUGUCCGGAUUUAUUGGGUUUAAAGGGUGCGUAGGCGGCCCUGUAAGUCAGUGCUGAAAUCCCCCGGCUUAACCGGGGUGGUGGCAUUGAUACUGCAGGGCUUGAGUACAGAUGAGGUAGGCGGAAUUGACGGUGUAGCGGUGAAAUGCGUAGAUAUCUGGAGGAACACCGGUGGCGAAGGCGGCAUCCUGGACCGGCAUUGACGCUGAGGCGCGAAAGCCAGGGGAGCAAACGGG